rnacentral:rRNA from 1 species
CAGGCCUAACACAUGCAAGUCGAGCGGAGCGAGGGUGCUUGCACCUUAGCUUAGCGGCGGACGGGUGAGUAAUGCUUAGGAAUCUGCCUAUUAGUGGGGGACAACGUUUCGAAAGGAACGCUAAUACCGCAUACGUCCUACGGGAGAAAGCAGGGGAUCUUCGGACCUUGCGCUAAUAGAUGAGCCUAAGUCGGAUUAGCUAGUUGGUGGGGUAAAGGCCUACCAAGGCGACGAUCUGUAGCGGGUCUGAGAGGAUGAUCCGCCACACUGGGACUG